UACGUAGGGUGCAGGCGUUAAUCGGAAUUACUGGGCGUAAAGCGUGCGCAGGCGGUUUGUUAAGUCUGAUGUGAAAGCCCCGGGCUCAACCUGGGAACUGCAUUGGAAACUGGCAAGCUCGAGUAUGGCAGAGGGGGAUGGAAUUCCGCGUGUAGCAGUGAAAUGCGUAGAUAUGCGGAGGAACACCGAUGGCGAAGGCAAUCCCCUGGGCCUGCACUGACGCUCAUGCACGAAAGCGUGGGGAGCAAACAGG
rnacentral:rRNA from 1 species